AUCUUUUUUGGGUGUAUAGCUCAGUUGGUAGAGCAUUGGGCUUUUAACCUAAUGGUCGAUGGAUGAGUACAGCAGAUGAUG